CGGGACGGGUGAGUAACGCGUGGGUAACCUGCCUCAUACAGGGGGAUAACAGUUAGAAAUGACUGCUAAUACCGCAUAAGCGCACGGUCUCGCAUGGGACAGUGUGAAAAACUCCGGUGGUAUGAGAUGGACCCGCGUCCGAUUAGCUGGUUGGUGAGGUAAGGGCUCACCAAGGCGACGAUCAGUAGCCGGCCUGAGAGGGUGAACGGCCACAUUGGGACUGAGACACGGCCCAAACUCCUACGGAAGGCAGCAG
rnacentral:rRNA from 1 species